GAGCGCAAUCUCUCUGUAAAUGCCAUGUCUAUAGGUCUCUGUGUUUCACUCUCUCUUUGUGUAUGAACCUCUCUUUUGUUUGAGCACCUCCAUAGCACUUUGUCAUCACCUGUUGGGAGUAGUCGGCCUCUGACACUUUAGGGUGACCCUCAUUGUCACUGCUUGUAAAGUUGAAAGACAGAUCUAGGCUUCCUCCUCUGCGGAUGUGAUUCUGAACUCUUGCAGGGCUGGACAGGGUGAGCAACACAGAUCUACAGACCUUUAGAGAACCACAAGGUGAGUGGACUUCUGUACACAUUGAAGAGACCUUUCUGUCUGUAAUAUUAAUCACAAUGCAGUAAUUCCAGGAAUUCUUGAUGCAGUACCAUAGUGCCAGACAGUGAUCAAUGUUGAUUUGUCACCUUGUCCCUUUGAACACACACCUGCUAACUAACUU